UCAUAAACCUGACAGCAGCGAGCAUCCCGAUUUAAGCACGAUUCUUUUAUUUUUAUUGUGUGCUUGCUUGUUUCACAGGUUUCAUCGGGAUAAAGCGAAUGGCAGGGCUACAA
rnacentral:sRNA from 1 species